rnacentral:ncRNA from 1 species
GAGUGAAGCGGCAACAGCUCAAAUUUGAAAUCUGGCUUCGGCCCGAGUUGUAAUUUGUAGAGGAAGCUUUUGGUGAGGCACCUUCUGAGUCCCCUGGAACGGGGCGCCAUAGAGGGUGAGAGCCCCGUAUAGUCGGAUGCCGAUCCAAUGUAAAGCUCCUUCGACGAGUCGAGUAGUUUGGGAAUGCUGCUCAAAAUGGGAGGUAAAUUUCUUCUAAAGCUAAAUACCGGCCAGAGACCGAUAGCGCACAAGUAGAGUGAUCGAAAGAUGAAAAGCACUUUGAAAAGAGGGUUAAAUAGCACGUGAAAUUGUUGAAAGGGAAGCGUUUGUGACCAGACUUGCGCCGUUCCGAUCAUCCGGUGUUCUCACCGGUGCACUCGGGGCGGCUCAGGCCAGCAUCGGUUUUGGCGGGGGGAUAAAGGUCCGGGGAACGUAGCUCCUCCGGGAGUGUUAUAGCCCCGGGCGUAAUGCCCUCGCCGGGACCGAGGUUCGCGCAUCUGCAAGGAUGCUGGCGUAAUGGUCAUCAACGACCCGUCUUGAAACACGGACCAAGGAGUCAAGGUUUUGCGCGAGUGUUUGGGUGUAAAACCCGCACGCGUAAUGAAAGUGAACGUAGGUGAGAGCUUCGGCGCAUCAUUCGACCGAUCCUGAUGUAUUCGGAUGGA